AAGUCCCAACUUGACGUCGUCUACAGCAAGAACUCCAAGCCGCAAAUUGAGCACUUCUUCAAGCUCUUCUGAUUGCCUUCUCAUCCGUCAACAAUUGCAGGUCAAGCGUGAUAUUGUGCUGAGAGUGCUUGUGCUUUGGUCUCACCUUUUUCGGUUCUCAUUGUCAUUUGAUAUAGCUUGAUGCUUUGUCGAAUGAUUGUAGCUUAUAUGUAAGGGUUAAUUGCAUAUACUCUCUGUGGUAUCGUUUUUAAAUUGCAACCCCUGUAGUGUACACUGUUGCAGAUGUGCCCUUAGAUUAAAAUUGUGACUGU